ensembl:lncRNA
GUGGACUGUCAGCGCGUGCACGUGUGCGACACACACCGACACGCUGGCCUGUGCACGCCGGACAAUUAAACCGAAAAUCACUACGAUGGUUUUAAUAUAAAUUAGUCAGACGAAUUUAAAAUAUUUCCCAUUAUUUAAUCAGUUUAUCUAAUAAAAAUGGCAAACAAAAGUAUUUUAUUAAUUAUAUUUUUUAUCUUAAAUUUAAUAAAACUCCAGAGGUUAAAAAAUAAAAAUAAUAAUAAUAAUAAUAAUUAGAGCAAAACAUGAUAAACACACGAACAAAAAUCUACAUUAGAUAAGGAGGAAAAUACAAAAGCAUCUGAAAUCAGGAAACAUUUACACUGUGAUGACAGGAAUGUCGGACUGUCUCACAUGAUGACUGAAAACCACCUAAACUUCAUGUAAGCAAAGAAAAGACACGCAAAGGCAAAAACCAGACGUCCACAGUGGGGUCGGCAGUCUGACAAUCAGCACUUUCAGCUCUAAAAGCCAUCCGGUGUUCAUGGAUGCUCGAAACCACACGCAGGACAAUCCACCCACGACGCUGUCAAAGCAAAGCAAGCCCCAAAACAAGAAUCUGCAAAAGGUGGAUGUUUUUACGUUAAUCGUAUUUUCACUGUAACCAGGUUUUGCUCAGGGCCUGGUGUGUCCCUCUGAUGGUUUUAACCAUUUACAAACCUUUAUAAACUUUAAACACCAAGUCUUUUAUUUGAAACCAACCCGGGACACACAAACGUGAUGAAUUUAACAGUAAAUUUAAAAAAGAAAGUUUCACUCCCUUUAUCUUAUUUGAAUUUAUUCAAGGUGUG